rnacentral:rRNA from 1 species
GUGAGGAAUAUUGGUCAAUGGACGCAAGUCUGAACCAGCCAUGCCGCGUGCAGGAAGACGGCUCUAUGAGUUGUAAACUGCUUUUGUAUUAGGGUAAACUUAGGUACGUGUACCUGACUGAAAGUAUAAUACGAAUAAGGAUCGGCUAACUCCGUGCCAGCAGCCGCGGUAAUACGGAGGAUCCAAGCGUUAUCCGGAUUUAUUGGGUUUAAAGGGUGCGUAGGCGGUUUGAUAAGUUAGAGGUGAAAUACCGGGGCUUAACUCCGGAACUGCCUCUAAUACUGUUGAACUAGAGAGUAGUUGCGGUAGGCGGAAUGUAUGGUGUAGCGGUGAAAUGCUUAGAGAUCAUACAGAACACCGAUUGCGAAGGCAGCUUACCAAACUAUAUCUGACGUUGAGGCACGAAAGCGUGGGGAGCAAACAGGAUUAGAAACCCUUGUAGUCC